rnacentral:rRNA from 1 species
GACGAACGCUGGCGGCGUGCUUAACACAUGCAAGUCGAACGGCAAGGCCCUGCUUUUGUGGGGUGCUCGAGUGGCGAACGGGUGAGUAACACGUGAGUAACCUGCCCUUGACUUUGGGAUAACUUCAGGAAACUGGGGCUAAUACCGGAUAGGAGCUCCUGCUGCAUGGUGGGGGUUGGAAAGUUUCGGCGGUUGGGGAUGGACUCGCGGCUUAUCAGCUUGUUGGUGGGGUAGUGGCUUACCAAGGCUUUGACGGGUAGCCGGCCUGGGAGGGUGACCGGGCACAAUGGUACUGAGAGACGGCGCAGUCUCCUACAGGAGGCAGUAGUGGGGAAUAUUGCACAAUGGGCGGGAGCCUGAUGCAGCAACGCCGCGUGCGGGAUGACGGCCUUCGGGUUGUAAACCGCUUUCGCCUGUGACGAAGCGUGAGUGACGGUAAUGGGUAAAGAAGCACCGGCUAACUACGUG